AAAGAAACCAACAGGGAUUGCCCCAGUAACGGCGAGUGAAGCGGCAAAAGCUCAAAUUUGAAAUCUGGCCUCCUACGGGGGUCCGAGUUGUAAUUUGUAGAGGAUGCUUCGGGUGUGGCCGCCGUCUAAGUUCCUUGGAACAGGACGUCAGAGAGGGUGAGAAUCCCGUCUUGGGCGGCCGGUCCGCGCCCGUGUGAAGCUCCUUCGAAGAGUCGAGUUGUUUGGGAAUGCAGCUCUAAGCGGGUGGUAAAUUUCAUCUAAAGCUAAAUACUGGUCGGAGACCGAUAGCGCACAAGUAGAGUGAUCGAAAGGUUAAAAGCACCUUGAAAAGGGAGUUAAACAGCACGUGAAAUUGUUGAAAGGGAAGCGCUUGCGGCCAGACUCGGGGGCGGGGUUCAGCGGGUGCUCGUCGCCCGUGCACUCCCCGUCUCCCGGGCCAGCAUCAGUUUCGACGGCCGGUCAAAGGCCUCCGGAAUGUGUCGUCUCUCGGGACGUCUUAUAGCCGGGGGUGCAAUGCGGCCCGUCGGGACUGAGGAACGCGCUUCGGCUCGGAUGCUGGCGU
rnacentral:rRNA from 1 species